AUUGAACGCUGGCGGGAGGCCUAACACAUGCAAGUCGAGCGGAGCGGCGGACGGGGGAGUAAUGCCUAGGAAUCUGCCCGUUCGUGGGGGAUAACGUCCAGUACCGGACGCUAAUACCGCAUACUAUCAGAUUAGCCUAGGUCGGUUUAGCUAGUUGGUGGGGUAAAGGCCUACCAAGGCGACGAUCCGUAGCUGGGCUGAGAGGAUGAUCAGUCACACUGGAACUGAGACACGGUCCAGACUCCUACGGGAGGCAGCAGUGGGGAAUAUUGGACAAUGGGCGAAAGCCUGAUCCAGCCAUGCCGCGUGGGUGAAGAAGGCCUUCGGAUUGUAAAGCACUUUUGGUUGGGAAGCGGUACCAACAGAAUAAGCACCGGCUAACUACGUGCCAGCAGCCGCGGUAAUAC
rnacentral:rRNA from 1 species